AUGAGAAAACUGAGGUCCAGCCUUCAGGACAGUUUUUGGCAUAUGGUAUGUGUCUGAUAAAUGCUUGUUAACUUGACUUGCCAAAAUUAUAAAGAAUUAGAGUCUAGAUUUGAACCCAGGGUUCCCGACUCAAGUCUAGCACUCUUUCCACUGUUCUGGAGUCCUUCCCUCUUUGAUCAUUUUAGGAACAUUGAUUAAUUAGAGCUAUUAUAUAUAGUGCUUUAAGCUUUACAAAGUGCUUUAGAAAUAUUCAUUUAUUUUAUCCACAUAAUAGCCCAAGGAGAAGGUGCUUUUAUCCCCAUUUUUACAGGUAAAUAAUACUCUCUAUGAUCAAAGACAGAGAAGAUGAAAAUAAGGCAAAUAAAAGAGAGAAUGAAUGAUAAUAAAAAGGGGAAAGGAAGAUUCAGUGAGUACGGAAAUAUGUCAAUGUGAAAUAUUUCAGGGAGUGCCUCAAGAAAUACAAAAAGUGGCAAUUCAACCUAGUUCAACUCAAUGUAAAACAUCCAGUCACCUUGUUUAUGUUUGACCUAUGCAUUUUAUUCAUCUCUUUCUCAGGGAGAUGGUCAACAAUUAUUAUCUCCACUUCAUAGAUGGAUAAAUAGAGGCAUAACAAGAACUCCAUCUCCCAUCUCCAUGACCUUCCAGUUGUCUAGAAUGCUCUAUCUCUUCGCUUCUGUCUCCUGGUUUCCGGACACAAAAAGCAGAAUUUUGAACAGAGAGUGGAGAAGAGACAGAAGAGACACAGAUUUCAGCUUCUUAUUAGGAAACUCUUCAAAAAUGGACUGGACUACUUCAAGAGAUAAUGGUAGGGGAGUGAGAGUGAUAGUGAUGAUUUUCCUGAUCCCCCUCCCAAAAUGCAAUUGUUUUCCCCCCCAAAAAAAAUUCUUUCUUGCAAAUAUUUAUGUGUAUAAUUGUUUUCCCCAUAGAAUUUAAGCUUCUUUGGAAUAUGGACUGUUUCGUGUUUAUCUUUAUCUCCAGGAUUGUCUGGCACAUUGUAAUUAAAAUAAAAUAAAAUUACAUAUAUACA
rnacentral:lncRNA from 1 species